rnacentral:snRNA from 1 species
GCACUGNCAGGGGAGACACCAUGAUCAGGCAGGUGGUUUUCCCAGAGCAAGCCUCAUCCUUUGCACUCCGGUGUGCUGACCCCGACUUGACUGCAUAAUCUGUGGUAGUGGGGGACUGCGUUCACGCUGUCCCCUU